rnacentral:rRNA from 1 species
CGCGGCCUAUCAGCUUGUUGGUGGGGUAGUGGCCUACCAAGGCGACGACGGGUAGCCGGCCUGAGAGGGUGACCGGCCACACUGGGACUGAGACACGGCCCAGACUCCUACGGGAGGCAGCAGUGGGGAAUAUUGCGCAAUGGGCGGAAGCCUGACGCAGCGACGCCGCGUGGGGGAUGACGGCCUUCGGGUUGUAAACCUCUUUCGGCAGGGACGAAGCGAAAGUGACGGUACCUGCAGAAGAAGCGCCGGCUAACUACGAGCCAGCAGCCGCGGUAAUACGUAGGGCGCAAGCGUUAUCCGGAAUUAUUGGGCGUAAAGAGCUCGUAGGCGGUUUGUCGCGUCUGCCGUGAAAGUCCGGGGCUCAACCCCGGAUCUGCGGUGGGUACGGGCAGACUAGAGUGAUGUAGGGGAGACUGGAAUUCCUGGUGUAGCGGUGAAAUGCGCAGAUAUCAGGAGGAACACCGAUGGCGAAGGCAGGUCUCUGGGCAUUAACUGACGCUGAGGAGCGAAAGCAUGGGGAGCGAACAGGAUUAGAUACCCUGGUAGUCCAUGCCGUAAACGUUGGGCACUAGGUGUGGGGGACAUUCCACGUUUUCCGCGCCGUAGCUAACGCAUUAAGUGCCCCGCCUGGGGAGUACGG